ensembl:lncRNA
UGUGUGUGUGUGUGUGUGUGUGCGUGCGCGCACUUUUACAUCAAAGUAGGUGAGGCCGCUUAAAUUACCUGCUCAUUAUGAGGCUGGAGAAAAAUUGCUCUUCCGUGAUGUUUAGAGAAGCGGCAAUCUAUGGAUAAUGAUGCGAGCCGACAGAAUUCUGGCUUAUGCAGUCUGUCAGUCUGCGAGCUCAUUUAUCCACCGUGGUCAUGCAAGAUCCCAUCACACCUUAUAGAGUUGCCUUUGUCAGUGUGUUUACAGAGCAGCCAGGUGACAGUGGAGUGAUGACAGGUGUAUACACAGCUGUGACAGGUGAGCGUUGGACACUGUACCAGGCGGAAAGCUUUGAUUUGGAUUCAGUAA